rnacentral:rRNA from 1 species
AUUGAACGCUGGCGGCAGGCCUAACACAUGCAAGUCGAGCGGAUGAAGGGAGCUUGCUCCUGGAUUCAGCGGCGGACGGGUGAGUAAUGCCUAGGAAUCUGCCUGGUAGUGGGGGAUAACGUCCGGAAACGGGCGCUAAUCCUGCAUACGUCCUGAGGGAGAAAGUGGGGGAUCUUCGGACCUCACGCUAUCAGAUGAGCCUAGGUCGGAUUAGCUAGUUGGUGGGGUAAAGGCCUACCAAGGCGACGAUCCGUAACUGGUCUGAGAGGAUGAUCAGUCACACUGGAACUGAGACACGGUCCAGACUCCUACGGGAGGCAGCAGUGGGGAAUAUUGGACGAUGGGCGAAAGCCUGAUCCAGGCAUGCCGCGUGUGUGAAGAAGGUCUUCGGAUUGUAAAGCACUUUAAGUUGGGAGGAAGGGCAGUAAGUUAAUACCUUGCUGUUUUGACGUUACCAACAGAAUAAGCACCGGCUAACUUCGUG